GCCGCCGUCGAUCAAAGAUGGCGCUGGCCUCCAUUUUAUUUAUUUUUUUUACACUUCCCGCCAAUAGAUGGCCGACGCACACUCCCGCCCGUUUGCGAAUAUGCAACCAAGAAUACAAGUAGUAGCUUUUUGGGGUUGUGAAAUUUUGGCUUUUGGGGUUGUGAAAUUUUGAAUAUAUGAUUUUUGAAAUGUGCAAUUUUGAAUACAUGAAGUAUACCAGUGUUCUUCAACCUGUGUUCCGCGGAACCCUAGGGUUCCACCCAAAGGCUUUCGGGGUUCCGCGAGUCAUUGCUUCAAUUCGAGAGACGUCGGCCGCGCCGCUCUUCAGAAUGCACAUGCGUCAAUCGGAGUUUCAUGUUGAAACAUGUUAUCCAUUCGCAUAGUUGACUUACACUGCACUUAACCUUAAUUUUCAAAAAUAUGUAACUGUACUUGUGGUCGUAGUUUUGUUGUUGUUUUAGGUUUAGACAAGCAAAGAAUCGUUCAGAAAUAUGAUGCUGAAUUGGCUCAAAAGUGGCAAAUUGGAAUCACAAUCCCAAGAACAAUCCUCUUGCUAUCUUGAAAAUUCCAACUGUCUUCCGCCAACAUUAGACUCGACAGAUAUUAUUGGAGAAGAAAAUAAAGCGGGAACAACAAGUCGAAAAAAACGAAAAUAUGAUGAAGAUUACUUGAACUUCGGAUUUACUUGGACUGGUGAUAAAGAUGAGCCAAAUGGACUUUGCGUAAUAUGUGAGCAAGUAGUGAACAACAGCAGUUUAAAUCCUGCAAAGCUGAAGCGACAUUUGGACACUAAACAUCCGACUUUAAAAGGUAAAAGCGAAUAUUUUAAAAGAAAAUGUAAUGAACUAAAUCAGAAAAAGCAUACCUUUGAAAGAUAUGUUCGUGAUGAUAAUAAAAAUCUACUAAAAGCAUCUUAUUUAGUUAGCUUGCGCAUAGCUAAACAAGGCGAAGCUUAUACUAUUGCUGAAAAAUUAAUUAAACCUUGUACGAAAGACUUAACUACAUGCGUAUUCGGCGAAAAAUUUGCAAGCAAAGUCGAUCUCGUCCCAUUGUCUGACACGACGAUUUCACGACGAAUUGAAGAUAUGUCAUAUUUCUGCGAAGCGGUACUAGUAAAUCGUUUGAAAAAUGCUAAAUGUGGAUUUACUUUGCAAAUGGAUGAGUCCACAGAUGUAGCUGGAUUAGCAAUUUUAUUAGUAUUUGUGAGAUACAUACACGAAUCUUCUUUUGAGGAAGAUAUGCUUUUUUGCAAGGCUCUGCCAACUCAAACAACAGGUGAAGAAAUAUUUAAUUUACUUAAUGCUUAUUUUGAAAAACAUUCAAUUCCUUGGAAUUUAUGCUAUCACAUAUGCACUGAUGGAGCCAAAGCUAUGGUGGGUGUUAUAAAGGGCGUAAUAGCACGUAUAAAAAAGCUGGUUCCAGACAUCAAAGCUAGCCAUUGCUGCCUUCAUCGUCAUGCUCUCGCUGUCAAACGGAUACCAAAUGCUUUGCACGAAGUACUCAAUGACGCCGUUAAGAUGAUUAAUUUCAUCAAAUCCAGACCUCUAAAUGCCAGGGUAUUUGCCCUAUUGUGCGAUGAUUUGGGAAGCUUACAUAAAAAUCUCCUUCUUCAUACCGAAGUAAGAUGGUUAUCGAGGGGAAAGGUCCUAACGCGAUUUUGGGAAUUGCGUGAUGAAAUUCGAAUCUUUUUUAAUGAACGUGAAUUUGCUGGAAAACUUAAUGAUACUAGUUGGCUUCAAAAUCUGGCCUACAUUGCAGAUAUAUUUUCAUACCUGAACGAAGUUAAUCUUUCACUUCAGGGACCAAAUUCUACAAUUUUUAAGGUCAAUAGCAGAAUAAACUCGAUAAAAUCUAAACUCAAGCUUUGGGAGGAAUGUAUCACCAAAAAUAAUACGGAAUGUUUUGCUAAUUUAAACGAUUUUUUGGAAACCAGUAAUACUGCAUUAGACCCGAAUUUAAAAAGCAAUAUUUUGGAACAUUUAAAUGGCUUGAAAAACACUUUUUUGGAAUAUUUUCCUCCUACGUGCAACAAUAUUAGUUGGGUCGAAAAUCCGUUUAAUGAGUGUGGUAAUGUGGAUACCCUCCCAAUUAAAGAAAGGGAGCAACUGAUAGAUAUACGCACUGAUACAACAUUAAAGUCUACUUUUGUACCGGAUGGCAUUGGCCCAUUUUGGAUAAAAUUAAUGGACGAAUUUCCAGAAAUUUCCAAACGUGCCGUAAAAGAAUUGAUGCCUUUCGUGACAACCUACCUUUGUGAGAAAUCGUUUUCUGUUUACGUCGCAACAAAAACCAAGUACAGAAAUAGACUUGACGCUGAGGAUGAUAUGCGUCUCCAAUUAACAACGAUCCAUCCCGAUAUUGAUAAUUUGUGCAAUAAUAAGCAAGCGCAAAAAAGUCAUUAAUUUUUAUUUUUUAUUUUAUAUAUUAUUUUAUUUGGAAUAUUUAUCUUUUUGUUUAAAGUUUGUUUAAAUAAAUGCAAAUUUAAAUCUUA